UACGUAGGGGGCGAGCGUUGUCCGAAGUUACUGGGCGUAAAGAGUGCGUAGGCGGCUUGACAAGUUGCAUCUAAAAGGCGGCAGCUCAACUGACGAGUGCGGUGCAAGACUGUAAAGCUUGAGGCAAGCAAAAGAAUGUGGAACUCCGAGUGUAGCGGUGGAAUGCGUAGAGAUUCGGAAGAACACCCAUGGCGAAGGCAGC
rnacentral:rRNA from 1 species